GCUUACCAUGCAAGUCGAACGAUGAUGCCCAGCUUGCUGGGCGGAUUAGUGGCGAACGGGUGAGUAAUACGUGAGUAACCUGCCCUUGACUCUGGGAUAAGCCUGGGAAACUGGGUCUAAUACUGGAUACUACUGUUCACCGCAUGGUGGGCGGUGGAAAGGGUUUUACUGCUUUUGGAUGGGCUCACGGCCUAUCAGCUUGUUGGUGGGGUAAUGGCUCACCAAGGCGACGACGGGUAGCCGGCCUGAGAGGGUGACCGGCCACACUGGGACUGAGACACGGCCCAUACUCCUACGGGAGGCAGCACUGGGGAAUAUUGCACAAUGGGCGGAAGCCUGAUGCACCGACGCCUGUGAGGGAUGACGGCCUUCGGGUUGUGAACC
rnacentral:rRNA from 1 species